rnacentral:tRNA from 1 species
ACUAUUGGGGCAGAAAAGUGAGAUGAUUUUAAAAAUCAUUUAUAUAUAGUAAAAUUAUAUAGAUAGGA